GAAAUCUGGCUGGUUUACUAGUCCGAGUUGUAAUUUAAAGAAGCGUUUUCGGUGGCAGCCUGGGUAUAAAUCCUUUGGAAUAGGGUAUCAUAGAGGGUGAGAAUCCCGUCUUUGACCUAGUGCAUGCUACUAUGUGAUACGUUUUCAAAGAGUCGAGUUGUUUGGGAAUGCAGCUCAAAAUGGGUGGUAAAUUUCAUCUAAAGCUAAAUAUUGGCGAGAGACCGAUAGCGAACAAGUACCGUGAGGGAAAGAUGAAAAGAACUUUGAAAAGAGAGUUAAACAGUGCGUGAAAUUGUUGAAAGGGAAACGUUUGACACCAGUCAUGUGGGUGGAAAAUCAGUCUUUUGCAUUGGGGAGUUGUAAGGGUUCGGACCGCAAGGCCGGCUUUUGCUUCAUCUUUGGUGUAAGUGAUGCACUUUUUCAUCUACAGGUCAACAUCAGUUUCUUUUGCUGGACAAAACUCCGAGAGAAGGUAGCAGCUUAGGCUGUGUUAUAGCUCUGGAGCGAUACAGUGAAGGGGACUGAGGUUUUCGCAGCGUGUGCUCUCGGGCAAGGCUGGAUGGGUGCUAUGGGAUCGUUCGGGGUACAAUGCCUGGCAUUUUGCUUCGUGUCUUUUCUAUACUCGCUCAACUCAGCUCUUCCACGCUUAGGAUGUCGACUUAAUGGUUUUAAACGACCCGUCUUGAAACACGGACCAAGGAGUCUAACAUAUAUGCAAGUGUUUGGGUGGCAAACCCAUGCGCGUAAUGAAAGUGAACGUAGGUGCGAUCCGCAAGGUGCAGCAUCGACCGAUCUUGAUAUUUUUGGAUAGAUUUGAGUAAGAGCAUAUAUGCUGGGACCCGAAA
rnacentral:rRNA from 1 species